UACGGGGGGGGCAAGCGUUGUUCGGAAUUACUGGGCGUAAAGGGCUCGUAGGCGGCCAACUAAGUCAGACGUGAAAUCCCUCGGCUUAACCGGGGAACUGCGUCUGAUACUGGAUGGCUAGAGGUUGGGAGAGGGAUGCGGAAUUCCAGGUGUAGCGGUGAAAUGCGUAGAUAUCGUAAGGAAGACCAGUGGCGAAGGCGGGUCUCUGGACAGUUCCUGACGCUGAGGCACGAAGGCCAGGGGGGCAAACGGG
rnacentral:rRNA from 1 species